GACGAACGCUGGCGGCGUGCUUAACACAUGCAAGUCGAACGGAAAGGCCCUGCUUUUGUGGGGUGCUCGAGUGGCGAACGGGUGAGUAACACGUGAGUAACCUUGCCUUGACUUUGGGAUAACUUCAGGAAACUGGGGCUAAUACCGGAUAGGAGCUCCUGCUGCAUGGUGGGGGUUGGAAAGUUUCGGCGGUUGGGGAUGGACUCGCGGCUUAUCAGCUUGUUGGUGGGGUAGUGGCUUACCAAGGCUUUGACGGGUAGCCGGCCCGGGAGGGGGGCCGGCCACAUGGGGACUGAGAUACGGACCAGACUCCAACGGGAGGCAGCAGUGGGGAAUAUUGCACAAUGGGCGGAAGCCUGAUGAAGCAACGCCGCGUGCGGGAUGACGGCCUUCGGGUUGUAAACCGCUGUCGCCUGUGACGAAGCGUGAGUGACGGUAAUGGGUGAAGAAGCACCGGCUAACUACGUG
rnacentral:rRNA from 1 species